rnacentral:ncRNA from 1 species
UAAUAGUAGUUGAAAAUGAUUAUCAAUACCACAUAGAACAUCCCCCCCCACAACGUUUCGUUCUUGUUGGAUUGGUCAUUUUCAAAUAUUCCCCUUUUAUAUGCCCGUAAAAGACAAUAUACGUUAUAACAACGUUUUAUAAAAGCAGUAAACCCUUACGACACUUUAGGUUUACUGCUUUU